GGCGCUCAAGCCCCGCCCUCCGGCCCCAAGCUGGGCGAACGUGGCAGCGGUCAUUGAGAAGUGGCCUUCCGAGGGCCGGUCACUAGGCCCGGGUCCUAGCGCACCACCAGGGCACACACGGGCUCACGCGACAGCCUGGGAACGUCUGGACCGCCGGUAGGAAGGCGGAAUUGAGGGUAGAAGAGAGGCCCGCAGAUCAGACCGCUCUCGAGGGGCUUCCUCGGGAAUCGGGAGGAGCUGCCUGCGGCCAUUAAUGGCUGAGAAACAAGCACGUGACACGCUGACACCGAAGGACCUUCUGCGGUUGCUAUAGAAGUAGCUGCGGGUGCACGGCUGGACUCUUGCCCUUCUCGCGGUCAUGGGGAGGAGCUUCUUCAAGGGCGGAGCCGGCUGGUUUCCUUGGAGAGCGCCUGCACCAAGACCCUUUGACCCCAUGGUCUGUCGUUGAGGCAUUUCUAGCCGCUGCUGCAUCAGCUGUUGGCCGCUAACACCCCCAACCCCGGACUUGGAGAAGCAGAACUCGGCUUUCUGCUGAUCUGGGCGCCGCAGUCAAACUUCGCUGCGUGGUUUCUGCCACUGCCUCGAUGGUCCUGGAGGCAGAGGUUUCUGGGGUUGCAGCUUUCAUAUACGAAGAGGCGGUGGCUACAGUUCCUAGCUUGCUAACCCUCCAGUACACACUCAAGCACUACUUGCUGUUUCUAGCCCAGGUGCAAGAGUUCACUGCCUUUCUGAGCGGGGCUGAGCGGGGCCUGAGAGGUCAUCCAGGGCCCCAUCAUGGUUCUGGUGGUUAGUAACUUGACCCCAGAACCCUUGUGGACCUCACUAGUGAGUGUCUUAGAGUUGUAGACUCUUCGUCUUGUGCAAACUUGGGGGGCAGAUGUAUGCCCAGACCUGCUGCCUGACCUUCACCCUGACUGGGCCUCCCACAAGGACCUGCCAAGAAUUACAGGACCCAGGCCAAGUGAACCUAGCUCUGUUGUGGGCUUGCGUUUGGAAGGGAGGCUGAAAGAACAGGAGAUUGGAAGCUCUUGUAGCACAAUAAACGAUUGCUGAACUUGGACUGAC
rnacentral:lncRNA from 1 species